rnacentral:rRNA from 1 species
UACGUAGGGAGCGAGCGUUGUCCGGAAUUACUGGGUGUAAAGGGAGUGUAGGCGGGACGGCAAGUCAGGUGUGAAAUUUAUGGGCUCAACCCAUAACGUGCACUUGAAACUGCUGUUCUUGAGUGAAGUAGAGGCAGGCGGAAUUCCUAGUGUAGCGGUGAAAUGCGUAGAUAUUAGGAGGAACAUCAGUGGCGAAGGCGGCCUGCUGGGCUUUUACUGACGCUGAGGCUCGAAAGCGUGGGGAGCAAAC